rnacentral:rRNA from 1 species
UAUACAUGCAGUCGAGCGGACCGACGGGAGCUUGCUCCCUUAGGUCAGCGGCGGACGGGUGAGUAACACGUGGGUAACCUGCCUGUAAGACUGGGAUAACUCCGGGAAACCGGGGCUAAUACCGGAAUGCUUUGAUUGAACCGCAUGGUUCAAUCAUAAAAGGCGGCUUUCGGCUGCCGUUUACAGAUGGACCCGCGGCGCAUUAGCUAGUUGGUGAGGUAACGGCUCACCAAGGCGACGAUGCGUAGCCGACCUGAGAGGGUGAUCGGCCACACUGGGACUGAGACACGGCCCAGACUCCUACGGGAGGCAGCAGUAGGGAAUCUUCCGCAAUGGACGAAAGUCUGACGGAGCAACGCCGCGUGAGUGAUGA